AUUAAACGCUGGCGGCAUGCCUUACACAUGCAAGUCGAACGGCAGCACGGGGGCAACCCUGGCGGCGAGCGGCGAACGGGUGAGUAACACAUCGGAACGUACCCAGUGGUGGGGGAUAGCCCGGCGAAAGCCGGAUUAAUACCGCAUACGACCUGAGGGGGAAAGUGGGGGACCGCAAGGCCUCACGCCGCUGGAGCGGCCGAUGUUCGAUUAGCUAGUUGGUGGGGUAAAGGCCUACCAAGGCGACGAUCGAUAGCUGGUCUGAGAGGACGACCAGCCACACUGGAACUGAGACACGGUCCAGACUCCUACGGGAGGCAGCAGUGGGGAAUUUUGGACAAUGGGGGCAACCCUGAUCCAGCCAUUCCGCGUGAGUGAAGAAGGCCUUCGGUUGUAAGCUCUUUCGGCUAGGAACGAAACGGUAGGGGGCGUAAGUAUCCCUCGCUAAUGACGGUACCU
rnacentral:rRNA from 1 species